CGAGAGAGUGCGGGAGGCUGCCUCUUGCCUGCAACAUGAGAACCAGGUGCUGCUGCUUCUGUAUCUGUGUGUUUAUGUGUGCAGUAAUGCUAAACAAAGUGUGUCUGCAGGUCACUGUUGAGGGUAAAGUUGGAAGCUCUGCUGUCUUGCCCUGUUCUUCUAUUGACAAUGGCCUUAAAAAUGAAGAUAUAACGGUUUAUUGGAGACAUAAUAGCAGCCAAAUUGUUUAUGACAUAAUU